rnacentral:rRNA from 1 species
GACGAACGCUGGCGGCGUGCUUAACACAUGCAAGUCGAACGAUGAAGCCUUCGGGUGGAUUAGUGGCGAACGGGUGAGUAACACGUGGGUAAUCUGCCCUGCACUCUGGGAUAAGCCUUGGAAACGAGGUCUAAUACCGGAUAUCACAAUUCUUCGCAUGGAGGUUGUUGAAAGUUCCGGCGGUGCAGGAUGAACCCGCGGCCUAUCAGCUUGUUGGUGGGAAGUGGCCACCAAGGCGACGACGGGUAGCCGGCCUGAGAGGGUGACCGGCCGACACUGGGA